GAUGAACGCUGGCGGCGUGCCUAAUACAUGCAAGUCGAGCGAACAGAUGAGGAGCUUGCUCCUCUGACGUUAGCGGCGGACGAGUGAGUAACACGUGGAUAACCUACCUAUAAGACUGGGAUAACUUCGGGAAACCGGAGCUAAUACCGGAUAAUAUAUUGAACCGCAUGGUUCAAUAGUGAAAGACGGUUUUGCUGUCACUUAUAGAUGGAUCCGCGCCGCAUUAGCUAGUUGGUAAGGUAACGGCUUACCAAGGCAACGAUGCGUAGCCGACCUGAGAGGGUGAUCGGCCACACUGGAACUGAGACACGGUCCAGACUCCUACGGGAGGCAGCAGUAGGGAAUCUUCCGCAAUGGGCGAAAGCGUGACGGAGCAACGCCGCGUGAGUGAUGAAGGUCUUCGGAUCGUAAAACUCUGUUAUUAGGGAAGAACAAAUGUGUAAGUAACUAUGCACGUCUUGACGGUACCUAAUCAGAAAGCCACGGCUAACUACGUG
rnacentral:rRNA from 1 species